CAGUUUUUGUGUUAACUAGAGCGUUGGUGACUGUAAAUGUGCUGCUGGAAACAAUUUAAUUAUGCGUUUUUUCCAACAUUUACUGACACCGGCCAUAUUCAACGGGUGUUGAGCGCUUGUAAAUGAAUUAUUCUGCACUCUGGUACACUGACGAGAGUGCUCUGAAAUCCGUGUAGAUAGUAGGCUGGACACAUGAAAUUUUUAACAACGUUCUUUUCUGAUAAAUAAACUAGUUAAUUACAUCCGCCGUGGAGCCCAGUUUCAGAAUAUGACCAUAUUUCCCAGCUGCUUGCCGUCGUUUUGAAGUAAUCGCGAAAAAAAACAGGCCUUAUUGCAUUUUUCACCCUGUCAACUCCUAUUAGUUCUAUUGAGCACUGUGGCACCAACUCGCCUUCCGAACGUCCUAUUCCCAGUUUAUUGUUCAACGUCACAAUGCCUGCUUCGCUAUUGUUGACAAUGAGACCUGCUCACAUUGUUUUGUAGUUAAAAUGUAAACAGCAAAAAUAAUAUUGGAACUCUGCAGUCUUCCCAUUGUUUCCUAUGGGGGAAAUAUGGGCAUGUCUUUCUAUUUCACAAAAUAUCUCGCAAUGUGUAUAUUUCGAUUUUUUUCAAGUCGGACGCCAUUUUAAUCAUGAGAAUCUCUUUCUAAUUAUGUAAGCCUGGGCAGCUAGCUCAGUUGUCAUCAAAUGCUAGCCCCCAAAUACUUUUUGCCCUUGGAACUCUGAGCUCCCCCCAUUGUUUUCCUAUGGAAAGGCAUGCCGGUCUAUUUCGCCAAAUAGCUCACUGUGUGUAUUUAGUUUUUUUCAAGUCGGGCACCAUUUUAAUCAGGAGAAUCUCCCCUUUGUAAUUAUAUAAGUCUGGGCAGCGAGCUCGUUUGUCAUCGAUCUCUAGACCAGAAAGUCAGAAGUUUUUAUUUGUUCCCUACUUUUUCAUUACGGAGACAUAUGCACAGUUGACACCAUCGAGGUGCGGAUGUUUACUUUCUAUUAAAAAAACCCAAUUUUCUUCCAGUUUCGUCCCACGAACAGAUUGAGUUGGUAAAAUAAAAAGUGAUACAUUUUUUUAUGGAAUUCUAAGCCUCACUCCAGUCAAAACAGGCUCUGCGAAUGUUCGAUUCCAUUCAUUUGCUAUGGGCUCGCGCUAGUGUUCCAGUUCUAGCCAACGUUCUUCAGCUGUUUUUCAGCCUUGGGUGAUUUUUGAUUCGUUCUAUUGUCCAGCCUAUAGAUAACCAGAACGAAUUUAUGAAAGCACUCAAAUGUCCAUUGAGAAAGCACAACGACUAUACCAUUUAGCUAAGCUAAGAAUGACGAUUAUAAUCAAGUCAAUAAACGUUGGGUAGUUAGUUAGCCUAUAGUUAAUAUACUAGCAAGUUUGAUGUAUAACUACUAAUGUUAGGUAGCUAGCUGACUGUGACGACCCUCCCACUCUGUCUGCCGAAUUUGUUCUCUUUGCUCUUGUUUACCUUAAUAGGAUGUCGGUGGGCAGAGCCGGGAGGGUCGUCAGUGAAAUGGGACACACCUGGGCUCAGGUGUGUCCCAGGUUAAAUGCCCCUCUUCCCCAUUCAUUGAGGAGACUCUCCAUGCAGACACAGACAGAUUUUGGUUGUAGUUAUUUGGUUUGUUUGCACCUUUCAACACCCCUCAUUAUCACAUGUAUACACGCGACCACUCACUUACACUACUGACUAAACACACACCAUUGUUAAUUGUCUUUACUUUACUUCAGUUAAUAAAUAUGUUUUGUUAUUCUUUAUCUACAUGUUGUCUCCCUUUUUGUUACGGGCUUCGAGCCUGUUCGUGACACUGACAAACCAGUACAUACUGCUGUAAUGAUAUGCUAUGUGGUUCAUAAGGACAGCGUAGCUAACAAAUUGUCAGCCAACAUAACGUGCAAGGUAACUUAUUUGAAAAGUCAUUACUUUAUUACAUUGUGUAGCAAGCUACCCCUUAGUCGUUAAGUCAAAUCUGGUCUGUGAUAGGUUGUUUUUUUCACACCUAGCUCGGCUAUUAGACUAUUCUUUAGUAAAGGUUUUAUAGUCUAUUGUUCAGCUAAGAGCCCCCCUCCCCAACUUGCAACAAAUUGUUGUUCCCAUCUCAUUCCUUUCCCACUUCAAUGCGUCAUCAUUCUGCUCCUGAGUGGCUCGCUUGUGGGCGUGCUGGCAGGAUAUGGCAGCAUCUUCGGUUGUGUAUCAAUAAUUCUGCAUACAGUAGCACGUUUGUAUGAAAGUGUGGUUAUUCACAGGCAAAUUGUUAUAUGCUAUGGAGGUACAUUUUAUGUCUUUUUGUUGAGAGCAAAACCUUUUUUAUUUUCAAUCAAAAAUAAUUGUUUUGAAAGCAACUUUUUUUCGACACAAAGGAAGUCAAAGCGGACACCUACGAAGAUGGCAUCUCAGGUUAUAUCAGCUGUUUUGGUGAACCCCUCCCGCAUCUGAACUUGCUGACACUGAGGGCACAGCAUGAUCAUAGGUAUGUUUUGAUGUGAGAGAGGAAGCCAGUCCUGUCAUUGCCACCUCACCCACUCUUAAGAUAGCCAUCGGGCCAACAGGGGGCCCAAGGCUGGUUAGGAGACACCGCAAUUGUGACGAACUGAGAGAAUAUUAGGGUAACACCGUAAUUCAUGAAUCAUAUGCUGUCUGCCACUGUUCUUACCUCUUUCACUUUCUGUCUUCUACACCUCUCUCCCCACCUCAGAGCAGGAGUGGUAAACACUGUUGAAGUGUAUAAUUGUAAUACAUACAUGCAGACUUGCAGACAGUAUUUAAACCACAUACAAUAUGCACUCAAGUUUAACUGAAGUAUUAUCAGAAACCUGUUUCAUUGUUUUCUCAGCUUCUCAUUUCGUAAAAACCGGUCAAACUGAUGACAUUUCGCACAGGAACAAUCUUUCCACUGUUUUGGAGUUAUUGCAUUUAUUCGGUCCCUAAACGAAAUACAACUUCAUCAGUGUUAACUAGAAUACUAAUGCAUUAAUUCUAUUGAUGUAAGACAUUAUUCUGGUGAGCACUACUUUAUUUAGUCUUCUGGAGCAACAAGUUCUGACAGAAGAGACCCUGCAUGUAUCUAACUACAGUUGACAAAUAAAUGGCCUACCAAAUGUCUGAAAUUAUAAGCAGAAAUGUAUCUAAAUUAGGGAUAAAAGUAGCCUAAGCCAGUAGACUACAAGGUCCAGUACAGAGCAUCGGCGAAAUAAAUUAUUAUGGUGGAUAGAACUGCACAGCUAGCCUACAUUCUGAAGUGAUUUGUUUGACAAUCAGAUUAAAACAUCACACAACACCCAUGAUUUCCGAAACUAAGCCUACGCAGACCGUGAAAAACAACUGUAAAUUGGAUAAGAUGUUUACAUGCCACAGUAUCCUGUCUAAAAUCAGCAUAUCCCAGGCGUCUUAUCUGGGUUUCUCAUAACCAGGAUUGAAGGUUUUUCGGGUUAUUGUAAACGGGAUAUGAUGUUUAUAUGACUCAAAAACAGAAUACUUGAGUAUCCCGAAUAACAAUGGGAUAUUGGAGUGCAUGUAAACGUGGUCAGUGAUAUGCAUGGGCAUAUUUUGGGGAGGUUGAGCUGCAGCUCUUCCUCAGUGUAGAAUCAACUGGACAUGUAAUGUUACCAUUCAGAAUGUACCCCAUACAUUUCAUUGACCCACGUGCAAUUCACAACCCGCCACACCAUAGUCCCUGUGUUUAUGCAUGAAUGCCUCCGGCAGUGUGUGUCUGUCUCAAACAUGUAUAUAGCGAGAACACAUCUGACUUCAUGUACGCUAUCAGCACAGGUUUUGAAAAUGUCAUUUUUUUUGCACUUGUAAUAAAAGGGCAACCUUCAUAAAAAAUAUAUUUUUAAACAAGCAUUUUGUUUUCUUUAUUCAAAACGAAAAAUACCAGGAUGUAAUGCAGAGAUGGAGAUAUUGAGCGACGUCGCCGUGAUAUUUUAACAACCAUCUAAUUUUGCCAUUAAUCUUAACUAAAUAUUCUAUGGAAUGUUAAUUGUGUAGUUCCACUGUGUAACCCACAAUAGAUCAGGUGAAAAGAGCAACAUUAACUUUGCUGUACAUUAUGCACAUUACAAAAGGCUACAUACAACCACAUAACAUGCUAAUAAUAUCAGAAAUAGCUCAUUAUAAAACACAGCAACAGCAACACAAUUGUGACCUUAUUUGGGGAUGAACAUCUGUUGAAACAACACAGGAAACCAUUUCAGGUUGUUUAUUAGUAAAGCCGUCAUUCACGUUUUCUGGUAAAUCUUUUACAGCUUGCUGUAAUUAUAUAAUUUUUUAUGACUAUUCAAAUAUGACUCAACACUAUACACGCCAGCUACUACAGCAACUGAGAUGACUGCAACACUUAACAAAAAUGACUAAAAAAGAGCUGCAGUUAGUUUUGGAAUGGGUAGCAAGGAAUAAGUUAGUAAUAAAUAUUUCCAAAACUAAAACUAUUGUAUUUGGGACACAUCAUUCACUAAACCCUAAACCUCAGCUACGUCUCGUAAUGAAUAAUGUGGAAAUUGAGCAAGUUGAGGUGACUAAACUGCUUGGAAUAACCCUGGUUGGUAAACUGUCAUGGUCAAAACAUAUUGAUAUAACAGUAGCUAAGAUGGGGAGAAGUCUAUCCAUAAUAAUGCGCUUCUCUGCCUUAACAACACUAUCAACCAGGCAGGUCCUACAGGCCCCUGGUAUUGUUGCACCUAGACUACUGUUCAGUAGUGUGGUCAGGUGAUAUGAUAUGUGGUGGUGUAGGGAUGUUAUGUGAUGUAGUGUUUUAUCUUUAGCUCAUUCAUUACAAACAGUUCACAGUUUUAUCUUAUGUUUUAUAUGUAAUGUGGGUGCUUUGGUGUGUUUGGACCCCAGGAAGAGUAGCUGCUGCCUUGGCAGCAGCUAAUGGGGAUCCCUAAUAAAUACAAAUUAUACACUGAGCAUUAAAAUCAUUAAGAACACCUGCUCUUUCCAUGACAGACUGACCAGGUGAAUCUAGGUGAAAGCUAUGAUUCCUUAUUGAUGUUAAAUCCACUUCAAUCAGUGGAGAUGAAGGGGAGGAGACAGGUUAAAGAAGGAUUUUUGACACAACUGUGGGAAGCAUAAAGCAUUGAAGUCAAUAUGGGCCAGCAUCCCUGUGGAACGCUUUAGACACCUUGAAGAGCAUGCCCUAAUUGAGGCUGUUCUGAGUGCAAAUAUUGAGUGCAACUCAAUAUUAGGAAGGUGUUCCUAAUGUUUGGUAAAACUCUGUGUCUGGGACAAGCUUCGCUUUAUGGGUUGGCUCAGCUAAGUUCCUCCCCCGUCAGCCAUGUUUGUGACAUUAGUGAAGUGAUGUGGUGACUAGUGUCGUUGUGAGCUCGUGAGAUAACAGCGGCGAAGACUUGGCUUCAGAAGCUGGACAGAAUCCAGUAUAUAGCUUUAAGGAUAUGUUCUAGUGCAUUUAAAUAAACAUCUGUAUGUGCCUUACUAGUGGAGGCAGGUGAGAUGCCUUUGGAUAUACAGAGUAAAACAUUGUCAUUAGCUUAUUGGGUUAGGUUGAAAAGCUGUGAGGUUGAGCCUCCCACUGCUACACUUCUAGAUGACUGUUGGGAAUAUACUAGUAGACAGGCAGUGGUUUUGGUUGGACAGUUGGAAGCUUGCUGAUGAGAGUGGUUUGAGGGAGUUGGAGGUUGGCCCUUCUGUGGUGAUAGGGGAUGUUCCUCCAUGGUUACUCCCAGAUCCUGGUGUUGAUCUAACCUUGUUAGAGAAAAAGGGACAAUUGGUCACAAGUCAGUGAUAGAGGGAAACUGGUUAACAAUUACAUUGUCAGAAGUUUUUCACAGAUGGAUCCAAGGACCCAGAAUGUGGGCGCGCAGGAGCAGGCGUUUAUGUUUCUGAAUUUGAUGUGCAGAUAUGUAGAAGACUAACAGAUGAACUGUCAGUAUACUCAGUUGAACUGUUGGCGAUAAUAGUUGCCUUCCAGUGGGUGGAGGAAGUGCAACCUGUUAGAAUUAUAGUAUGCUCAGAUUUGCUGUAUGUAUUGAAUAGUUUAUCAUCUGGUAAAUCGAAUAGGAGUGACCUACUAUUGGAGGUAUUCAUGUUAUUAUGGAGAAUUGAGAGAAUUGGUGUAGUAGUGAGAUUCUGCUGGGACUCAGCACAUUUGCGUGUGGAAGGGAAUGAAAUUGUAGACCAGUUAGCCAAAAGAGCUUUAAAACGAGAUAUAAUUGAUAUUAAUGUUCCACUGGGUAGAGGUGAGGCCAAACAUAAGAUGUGUGGCAGAAGAGAUGGGACUCUGAGCACAAGUAUUUACAGUGCAUUCGGAAAAUAUUCAGACCCCUUCCCUUUUUCCACAUUUUGUUACGUUAUUGCCUUAUUAUAAAAUGUAUUAAAUAAAAAAAAUUCCUCAUCAAUUGACACAAUACCCCAGGUUUUUAGAAAUGUUUGCUAAUUUGUUCAAAAUAAAAACCAGAUACCCUCUAGUGGUGUGGGGGCUGUGCUUUGGCAAAGUGGGUGGGUUUAUAUCCUGCCUGUUUCGCCCUGUCCGGGUGUAUCAUUGGAUGAGGCCACGGUGUCUCCUGACCCCUCCUGUUUCAGCCUCCUGUAUUUAUGCUGCAGUAGUUUAUGUGUCGGAGGGCUAGGGUCAGUCUGUUA